GCUACACGUUUCAGUAAUAUUGAACAUACCGGUGCAUCAGUCACCAACCAUUACGGAACUGUGUGACGUGUGUGACUGAGUGCUCGGAAAAGACGUUUGAUGCAGCUGAAAUGUUAUUUAUUUGUAUGCGAAGAAGAGGUCUAGGAGGAAGAGUAGCAGGAGGAUGAUAAGAAGCAGAAGAAGAGGUUGCUCUUCUUUGUACGGUUCUGGUAUCUCGAUGCUACGUCCAUGACAGACAAUGUUGCCAUUCAUUCAGUCACGGUGAGCGGUCAGCAGAAGCCUCAUAUAACAAUUAGCCUGCAAUGUAAGGUACAACGUACUUUGAAAAAUUGGAAUGGAUGAAGAGGGUCAUUGUGUUGAACGUGUAACAUCAGAAUUACCAGAAGACUCAUUUUACUUUUCAAAACAUUAAUUCUUUAAGGCAAAAUUAUAAGUACUUAGCAUUAAAAUAAUACAGCAUCUUUUCCACAGAGCGUGCUUAUGUGUUCCUUAUGGUUUUCGCAAUGAACAGCGACUGUUUCCCUAAACAGCAUUAACCGGUUGGGCUUUGUAGCGGAGACGUAAUGGAUUUCCUGUCAGGUACGGACUGAAUUUUUAUAUAGGACCACAUACACACACAGGAGCACGCACAUUAACCCUUUACCGCCCUUUACGGUCCAGCUGUUACAAUAUAUACACCUGCUUUAACAAAUUAAACUCUUCAUACUUAACAGAGUGUAAAUUUAUGUGUUUCGCAUUGUUCUCAUAGUGAACAGCGAAUAUUUCCCUAAACCGCAUUAAAAAGUCGAUCUUUGUAAAAGAGAAACAUUAAGUUUUCUGAGAGCCGGGAACUGCAUUUUUAAGCAUUAUAUUAAUUUCAAACUCGUAGGUUAAUCAUGAAAGUGUAACUGUAAUAUACAGGUAGAACAUAUUCUUAAUAUUUUAGAUGUGAUAAUACAAAAUCUCUGUUGAUGUUAACGCGUGUAGCCGUUCUGCUUGCUGUAACUUCGGAAACACUGCAUUUUGCACAAAGAGUUUGGAAGGACUCUCGGAACAAGCAGCAACUCUCUCCCCAAGAAGCAUAAAACAGUUGGCCUUUAUGAUGUACAGUUUUAAUCACUCUAAAAGAGAAACAUUUUCUGGGGUAUGACGCCCUUUAUUUCGGUAGGCGUUCACGUUACUCACUGGUUCUGCUUUCCGAUUUCUUCUUGUUUGUUGUUUACUUGACUUAGCUUUCUACCCUGAAGAUGGAGGCAGUAUGUUCCUCGGAAACAUAGUUUAACUUCUGUAAGGCUACAUGAAUCACAUCCGGGAAGACGUGUCACCGUUGUGACAACACAACAGCUGAUAGUGAUCAAGCUUUUUGGAAAUAUAUUCUUGUAUAUUUCGUCAAAGUUUAAUCGUCCAGUGAUUUAUUAUUGAAAUGUCGGUUAGGUUCUUUCUCUCGGCUCAGUUUUAUUCUUGCAUUUAUUUCCCCAGUCUUCUUGUUCCAAAGUUUUUGAAAGCUAAUAUAUUCAUGCGCUUGAGGUGGGGAAGGAAGGUUCCUGGAACGUGCAGUGGAUGUUGAACAGUUGGGUGGUGAUUGAUGGCAAGUGUAAUGCUUUGGCCCGGCUCGUAUUAAUGUCGUUGAAACUUCACAGUUAAAAUUCACACAUUUAUCCCUCACCCACGUUUAUUCUGCACAAUCGCUUCGCGUUUGGAUUAAAAUCGCCAAGGUUAACUUUGCUACAAAUUAGGACUUUUUUUUUAAACACUUCUCUCGCCUCAUUAGAGCUGGUAGACAUUUUCUGAAACAUGUCUGAAGCUACGUCAUAUAUUGAGUAGGCAACCUCACGGAAGAAAAGUCCCUGUGUGUUCAACGAGAUCCCUGGCAUGGCAAUUGUAUGUUGGGAAUAGAAUCUACUGAUUCUGAAACGAUGACUUAAAUGUAUAUUACUAUCUGAUGAUGACGUAACCUCAAAUAUAUUUUAGGCACAGCAUAUCUAUAUAGGCAAAAGAGUCUCUCUGCUUAACUAAUUAAGCACUACGCCGUGAAGGCGUAUGGAGGACGGGAUCUAUAGAUCCAUACAUUCUUGACCUUGACACUAGUUGGCAAUUGGUAAUUAGCUCAUGCCCUAGCCGCUUAACCCACGGAAGAAAGCCCUCGAUACCAAUUGGCUAGAAGACCGGGUGGAACAGAGAACUGGUCUGGACGACGUGGAGAAGAGAAAAAUCUCGCCUCUACCGGGACUCAAACUACGACCCUUCGGACGUCCAGGCCAUAACCAAUCGCUGUAUCGAUUGAGCUAUCCUCUCUCCAGUAAUAAAUGUAAUUUAACAUACUUAAUAACAUAUCAGGUAUGAAAUUACCUUUUAAACUCACUCACAUUUCACCGUGAAAUAAUGAGUUUAUUGAUAAAAUUGGUAUUAUUUUAAAGGUAAUUUUAUAGUACAGUAUAACACAACUGGAUGAAUUCCUUAAAAAUGUCAGAUUUAUUUAGAAUUAAUCAAAUAAUGGUGGAUAAUUUUUUUAAAAGAAAACCAGAAAGUAGAGGAGAAGUUGGAAGAACCAAACAGAGAUGUCUGGAAGAUGUAGGUAGUGGAUUACGAGAAGCUAAAGGGUAAAGAGAAGAAAGUGGGUCUGUAGGGUAAAAUGACAAGUAAGAGAGAAGAUCGUGCUUCUGCUUGAAGGAAGCGAAAAUUAUUAGAGGACCACAGAGCCAAGUGCUGUGGACCCUGAGGACUCAGGUCGUGCAGUUAUUCAGAGCCUGAAUAUCAGUUACGAAGUAGUUAAGAUAUGUAAAGGUUCGGCCACACAGAGCGCUACGCUAUGUUCGCUACGUACGCUACGUACGCUGUGUACACUCUGCGACCCAGCUAACAUACGGAACAUAGCGUACGUAGCGCUCUGUGUGGCCGAACCUAAAGACUGGUAUUCGAAUAGGAGACCUCCUGAAUGCCAGAUUCGUAGCACUGAGCGCUGUUCGGUAUGCGACACUCAGAAUUCUCUCCAGUAGGUUACGAAUGAAUCAUGACCGUUUCCUUCCACAUCCUUCCCAUUCCGUUGCCAAGCAACAGCGAAGCAUUGAACGUCAUGUGGUCUGAGUUACUUACAGUGUCGCCAAAAGAAAUACAAAUAAAUAAUAAAAUAUAAUAUAUCCGGAAGGUCGCGGGCUCGAUUCCUCAUGGCAUUACUAGAUUUUUCAGUUGAUACAAUCCUUCCAGGAGUCGGGUUAGAGCAGUCGGUAUAGCGACUGGCCACAGGUUGGACGACCGGGGGAUCGAAGUUCGAGUUCCGGGAGGGUCAAGAAUAUUCUCCUCUCCAUGUCCUUUAGACCGGCUCUGGGUCCAACCCAGCCUCCUGUCCAAUGUUUACCUUGGACACUUUCCCCGUGAGUAAAGCGGCAGGGGCGUGAA